GGGGGGGGGGGGUGAGGAAGUAGCCCUGGAGAAAAGGCACGUCUGGACCUGGUUGCCACAGAGACAUGGGCAUCAUGGGAGUGCUGGGAAAUAUCACCGGCUCGGAGGCACGUGGGGGAGGGAAGGAGAGGGGAGAAGGGAGGGGGGAGGCGGGUGGUUACAUAACAGUCCCAGAAGAUCACUGAGUCCUGUUUAUUGUGGCUGAGGCACGAGACCACACUCUGUUUCCUACGCAGAGUCCUUUCCACAUGACCACAGGAAAUUAGGCUCAGGCUCGGAAGCGUCAAUGAUCCUGCAAGCACUUCAGUCAUUACACGCCAAUCCCUUCCUCCCCUACCAUCCUGGACUGACAAUAUGGAUCACUAUACUGUUUGAGCUUCAUGGCGACCAGUAUUAGUAAACCCCUUAUCCCUGUCACUAACCGGACCGCUUUCACAGCCCCCCGCGUGAACUGCACCAGAACAUAGGGGGCGCCAGAUAGCGGGGCCCAAUUUCAAACGCAAGGGGUACCAGAGAUAUGAAGGAAUUUACACACUGGCUGGGCCUGGAGUGGGCUAUUUUACCUCCUAGGAUUAAACCUGUCACAGGCCGUUUCCCAUGGAAAAGGAGGAGGUGUGGACAGUUGGAAUUGUGGUGGACAGUUUUAAGGAAGCUUCAACAAGAUCAAACAAAUCUCUCUGUGCUGUCUCCCUGCAUCUCACCCCACCUGUGAACCACAGGACAAUGAGGCUCUGUUGAGCUCGAAAGGGAACUGGUGUCCAUCUCACAGGAAAUCCCUGAGGUUGUGUGACAUACUUACUUCCUGGGUGGUUGGCGGUUUUCACACAAUUAACGCACACACAUAUGCACUCUGGCAGAACCAUGCAGAAACACACACACACACAGACAGACAGACAGACAGACACACAGACAGACAGAUGGACAGACAGACAGACACACACAAAGAAAAAUAAAAUAUUAGAAAGCUGUCGUUUUGUAUCAGUCUUGCUUUGCAAUAAUUUGAAUCCCACAAUACCUAUUUGAAGAUAGUGAUUGCCAAUGUCCCCAGUGGACCGCUGGCUUAAAUCUUACAGAUAUUGCACUAAGCGUUUACUGUGGAUGGUUCAAUGGAACACAGUAUGAGCAUUUCUCAUUUACGUUGCACUGUUUUGUAGAUUAGGAUUAUAGGUGUUGCUUUGUGUUUCACAUUAUUCAAAGCAGACCGUUGUGGGUGGCCUGUCUUGUUUUUGUAAACCACGCUGUACUUCAUGAGCUGAGUCACGAUGUUUGUCCGACAGUGUUUGUACCAAGCGAACACACGACCAGGUAUCAAAACACUGAAAAGGGAAAAGAUGUUGAUUUCGUUAGAGAACAUCCAGAAACAAAUAGCACUGUUUAUUAAUUGUGGACUAGGGUGUUUAUGUGAGGAAAAUCAAAAGCAAAGAAAAACUAAAAGGAAAGUGUUGAGUGUUGGACACCACCCAUGGUGCCCUAUGUGCCUGAGACUUCCUAAUGUGCCAAUUUGAUAUAAUGGUUAAUAAUAGUUACAUCUUCGCUUGUUUUUAUUAUUUUUUUUACCAGAAAAGAACACAAGGGACCCUUUGCUCAUGAUCAUGUGGUGGUUGCAUUUGUAUUUGUGAUACAGGAUAUGCACCAGCUGUUUGAGGUUUACGGUUUAUAUUUUGUGGAUAGUUUUUGUUCAGUUUGUACAAUAUCCAUGUUGUACGUUUUCAUGUUAUUUUUCUUUUUUUUCUUUGUUUUGGGUGGGAGGUGGUGUUGUUGGGUUGGAUAAAACUGAAACCAACUCUUUUUAAAGAAUAUGAAUUUCACGGCACAGAAGGUGCCCUCUCAAUGUGUACAUUUCUUUAAAAGAAGCCAUUCCAUCGACCUGACACGGUGAUGUGUAGGGCAAUGCUUUCCAUUGUAGCCUACACCACGAUUCCUUUCUAUAGGUCUGCUUAAUUUAUGAUGCUUUUGGUAUUUUUAAGUAAAAAUUACAUAAUUAUUAAUCUACUCAAAAUAUUCAUUUUUUAAAAAGGAGUAUGUGCUAACUUGCUGUACUGAUUACGAACUGAUUAAGAAAAGGAAAUUAAAAUGAUGGUUUGGUCUGCAGUACUGUACAUGCACAGAAUUGCAUUAACUGAAGUAGCAAUGUGAUUUACAUAUUUCCAAUCUAAAUUAAAGAUAUAUUUCCUGUAUUUUCACAUAAAUUACCAUAUUUUCUCAGAUGGGGCUGGCUCUUAUUCUCUGUUCCAUAAGGACCUACUUAACAGAAUGUCCUGCACAGGCUUCUACAGGCAAGCCAGAUACACAUUCUAUAUAUAGUCCCAGUCAGGGGGUGCAGCAGGGAUGGGGGGUGGGGGGGGGGAGGCACAUGUGCCAUUAGCCCAGUAUUACUCAAGAGACAGAGCAGUUAUUGGUGGGGAGGAGGAUUUGCAAAUUAUGUGACCCCCCCAGAUUUUCUAACACCCCUAGCCCCCACUGCCCCCCUCCCUUCCUCCCAAGAGUAAAUUUUCUGAAAACAACCACUCUCAAAUUCUAUAUUGCAUGGAGCUUAUUGGAUGUUGAUUGAUUCCUGGGUAGGUUACGAGACACUAUUUAUUCAGCGAGGAAUUCAAAUUCCAUUCCAGCAUUGCUUUUUCUUCACUCCUCUGGCAUCUGCAGAAGAGGUAACCUUGAUGACAUUAAAUCCCAGAGAUUCCGUCUGUUGGAUCCAGCUCCCCCAAACAUACUGUAGCUGGGGAGGGAGUAGGCAGUGGUGUCCUAGUUAGUUUCUUUUAAAAAGUUUCUGAAGCCUGUUUUAAAGUUUGCGUACUGCUCCCAUUGCAUAUUUGGCCUGUUCUAUGGGAUGCUGUUGUAAGGUUUGAACUCAUAUCAGUGUAAAUAUUACAGCAGUACCACUGUACAAACUGAAAUACUUGUUCUUAUGUAAGUGUAUGUAUUUUCAAGACCAGUGGAAAGAGAGUGUUCUACUUGUAUUUUUUUUAACCGUGAAAAACCUUUCAGCUCAUGCACUGGCUUUCAAUACUGUAGGUCCUAUGUAUUUUGAUUAGUGGUUGUAUCAUAGAUCGCCAUUCCAAACUAUAGUAAUAAUAACAGCAGGAAAUGUAUUGUGUUCUGUGCCAGUUUUACUAAUUUAUUUCAUAGCCUAAUAGCGUAUAUAUUUUAAUAUCCAUUCAUUAAAAGCCACAUUAUUCACACAGUUACACUGGAUAAGACUGUGAGGAGAGUGUUCUGCAGAUGCUUUCUGGCUCUCACGUUCGGAUCCUGUCCUGGCCAUUGCAGAUAAGAACACUGGGAAAUGGAGUGUUUUGUUUCCUGUUGCUGCGUGGCUCUGCACUGUUGACGGUGUCCCCUUCCAGCUUGCCUUCAUCACAAAGCACUCAGCAUGGUAAUGACAGCUUACCGGCAGUGUGGGCGUCAAAGCGUUACCCUACCUUUGAGGGGCGGAGCUUGGAGCAGUGCCUGGGAGAGGAGUGGCCAGGUUCAGUAGACGGGUCAGGUGGAGGGACAAAAGGAAUACUUGCCACACGACUUGAGAACUGGCAGGUGUGAACUCACUGAGCCGAAGUAUUUCCUGUUCCAUUGACUCCUUAUAAAACUCCUUUUCAGGGGGACUGGCUUCCAUCUGGCAAAGCCUCUUGGAUACUUUUUGCAGGCCCUAAAAAAAGGCUCUAAUCCACUUUAUUUCUCUUAACAUCAAACCCGUUUUUAUUUUCAGUCUUUAUGGAUUCCUCCUUCCCCAGUUUCCCGUUACACAUUUGCAUGCCAUAUUAGGAAAAAAACUGUGAAUAGGUCAAAUCAAAUAAAACAAACAAACAAAAAAAACAUUAGACUGGGGACCUCAACUUUGUAAGGAUGACAUUUUGGCAGCAUUAUUUUUCCAUGGCUGCAGGUUUUUGGUAAGAUGUUUGGAGCACGUAUAAAAAUUAAGUUUUGUAAAUGCCUUCAACAGUGUUGUUCUGCAAGAACUGAUCAAACUUCUAUUUUCAUAAUUAAGACGGUUCCUUUCAACGUUUUCUAAAAAAGAAAAAAAAAAAACAAUUUUGUGGAAUGGGGUGAUGCACUUUGGAGGGAAAGACUGUCAACAUGGAUUUAAAAGAAAUCUCUAGAGGGCUACUGUGACAUUUUUUCUGAUAGCUGUAACAUUUUGCAAAAUACACAUAAACUCAAACGUGGCA